rnacentral:tRNA from 1 species
GUCCCUGUAGCGCAAUGGAUAGCGGGUUGAACUUCUAAUCCAAAGGUCGUGGGUUUGAAUCCCAUCUGGGAUG